UGGCCUCUUCCGGGGUAUUGAAGUAGUUUUUCUACCCUUCAUGUGUUACUUGCAGCCGGGCCUGGUGCAGAAGAGAGUACCGUAUCCCUUUAACUAGAAGAGCUUUCUCAAUACCAUCUGUGGAAGGGCGUGGGGUUCAUUGAACACACAGGAGAGAGAAAGUUUAUUUAUAGGUAUCUAUUCAGUCCAGUUAUAGUGAAAAUACAGGUGCUGAAACAACAUUCAUAACCAGAAGUUGAAGGGAAAAAGGAAAAUAAAAAACACAGUAACAAAACUACAAAUAAAAGGCGCUGCUUCUUACAGAGUCCUGCAGCCUCCGUUUGGCAAGUGGUGAUUCUAUGACCCCUUCAAGUAUCUGUGCCCUUCAUCACCCAAACCUUUCAAGCAAUUAAUAAGGCUCAUUCAUCCAUUGGUAAUUGUAAUCUCUCUGAGAGGUCAGGAGGCAGAUCUUGGGAUCCACCAAUAAAAAUAAUGUGCUGUGACAGGAAAGAGGCAAGGAAAACGACAAGAAGGAGAGAGGAGGAAGACAGCCACGAGACAGCACAAGUUCACGUACCCAGACCAGCAGAUUGACGGUGGCUGGGUCGUACAGAUCAUAGUUAGCUCUGGGGACUUGGGCAACCUGGUGCCAGUAUACUGAGGGAAGACCAAACUAUAAUUAAUGAAUUAAUUCUUGCGUAGAUUAGAGAGGGGAUUGCGAGACCCUCCUGAGAGCAGAACCUUUGUUUGUAGUUUUUCCGUAGUGUUUUGUUUUCUUAUGUUUUGUUCGCCGUUGGAGUAUUAUUAUUAUUAUUAUUUUACAUAACAAAGAGAAACUGUCUGGGCUCCAGAGUGGCACAUCCAAUGAAGGCACUCCACAUGGAGUGCAGGAUGUGCCCUAUAGCCUGGAGGUCACCGGUUCAAGUCCAGGCUAUUCCAUUGCUGACUGUGGACAGGAGAUCCCAGGUGGCAGUACACAACUGGCCCUGCACCACCCGGAUGGGCUUAGGUUGACCAGAGGGUCCUCGGCUCACCACGCACCAGCAACCCCUGUGGACUGGCCGGGCGCCUGCGGGCCUGCAUAUAAGUUGCUCAAAGCUACAUGGUCCUCCAAUGCUGUAGCUCUGAAGUGGCUGCAUGGCAGGCCUGCAGAGUGAAAAGAAGCGGGCAGCUGACAGCGCACGUUUCGGAGGACGCGUGUGUCCAUCUUCAUCUCUCCUGAGUCAGCACGGGGGUGGCAGCGAUGUGUCAGGUUGAAGUAAAAUUGGGGAGAAAAUCAGAAAAAUAAUUGGUUCUAAAUCUUAAAUUUUAAAAAAAACGACAAAAAAAGGUACAUUCCUGGUGUCAUCCCACUGGGGUAAAACAAUAAAAUAAAUUUUGUGCGCCAGAGCGAUGUUUUCAGUGAUCAAUCUCACCACACCUGCCCACAGUAAUCAAAUAUAACACUAUAGUUAACAGCUGCAUACUGAUACCUUUGCUGUCAGUCACAUAGUCUGAUUGUAUUUAGAUCAUUAAAGUGACUAUGAACUACUACACAUGAAGUCCUUAGGUACCAGGAAGCAGCAAAAAUGUUUUUGUCUACAGCACUGUCUUUGAAAUAUUUGCAUUUU